rnacentral:rRNA from 1 species
UCGUGGAGGGACUGCCGGCGACAAGCCGGAGGAAGGUGGGGAUGACGUCAAGUCAUCAUGGCCCUUAUGUCCAGGGCGACACACGUGCUACAAUGGCCGGCACAGCGGGAAGCGGAGGGGCGACCCUGAGCGGAUCCCUUGAAAGCCGGUCCCAGUUCGGAUUGCAGUCUGCAACUCGACUGCAUGAAGUUGGAAUCGCUAGUAAUCGCGGAUCAGCCAAGCCGCGGUGAAUACGUUCCCGGGCCUU